rnacentral:rRNA from 1 species
AUUGAACGCUGGCGGCAUGCUUUACACAUGCAAGUCGAACGGUAACAGGGUGCUUGCACCGCUGACGAGUGGCGAACGGGCGAGUAAUGCGUCGGAACGUGCCGAGUAGUGGGGGAUAACGCAUCGAAAGGUGUGCUAAUACCGCAUACGUACUGAGGUAGAAAGUGGGGGACCUUCGGGCCUUGCGCUAUCAGAUGAGCCUAGGUCGGAUUAGCUAGUUGGUGAGGUAAUGGCUCACCAAGGCGACGAUCCGUAACUGGUCUGAGGGGAUGAUCAGUCACACUGGAACUGGGACACGGUCCAGACUCCUACGGGAGGCAACAGUGGGGAAUAUUGGACAAUGGGCGAAAGCCUGAUCCAGCCAUGCCGCGUGUGUGAAGAAGGUCUUCGGAUUGUAAAGCACUUUAAGUUGGGAGGAAAGGCAGUUACCUAAUACGUAAUUGUUUUGACGUUACCGACAGAAUAAGCACCGGCUAACUCUGUGCCAGCCGCCGCCGUAAAAC